GCACCACAACAGGUGGAGCCUGCGGUUUAAUCGGACUCAACGCCGGGAAACUCACCAGAUAAGACAGCUGAAUGAUAGUCGGGCUGAAGACUCUACUUGACUAGCUGAGAGGAGGUGCAUAGCCGUCGUCAGUUCGUACUGUGAAGCAUCCUGUUAAGUCAGGCAACGAGCGAGACCCACGCCAACAGUUGCCAGCUCGUCCUCCGGGAUGGUGGGGACACUGUUGGGACCGCCUCUGCUAAAGAGGAGGAAGGAAUGGGCAACGGUAGGUCAGCAUGCCCCGAAUUAUCUGGGCUACACGCGGGCUACAAUGGGUGGGACAAUGGGUAUCGACACCGAAAGGUGAAGGCAAUCUCCUAAACCCAUCCGUAGUUCGGAUUGUGGGCUGCAACUCGCCCACAUGAAGCUGGAAUCUGUAGUAAUCGUGUCUCAAAAUGGCACGGUGAAUAUGUCCCUGCUCCUU
rnacentral:rRNA from 1 species